rnacentral:rRNA from 1 species
CAGUCGAACGAGCGAGAGGAGGUUUACUUUCUCAAGCGAGUGGCGAACGGGUGAGUAACGCGUGAGGAACCUGCCUCAAAGAGGGGGACAACAGUUGGAAACGACUGCUAAUACCGCAUAAGCCCACGACCCGGCAUCGGGUAGAGGGAAAAGGAGCAAUCCGCUUUGAGAUGGCCUCGCGUCCGAUUAGCUAGUUGGUGAGGUAAUGGCCCACCAAGGCGACGAUCGGUAGCCGGACUGAGAGGUUGAACGGCCACAUUGGGACUGAGACACGGCCCAGACUCCUACGGGAGGCAGCAGUGGGGAAUAUUGCACAAUGGGGGAAACCCUGAUGCAGCGACGCCGCGUGGAGGAAGAAGGUCUUCGGAUUGUAAACUCCUGUUGUUGAGGAAGAUAAUGACGGUACUCAACAAGGAAGUGACGGCUAACUACGUGCCAGCAGCCGCGGUAAAACGUAGGUCACAAGCGUUGUCCGGAAUUACUGGGUGUAAAGGGAGCGCAGGCGGGAAGGCAAGUUGGAAGUGAAAUCCAUGGGCUCAACCCAUGAACUGCUUUCAAAACUGUUUUUCUUGAGUAGUGCAGAGGUAGGCGGAAUUCCCGGUGUAGCGGUGGAAUGCGUAGAUAUCGGGAGGAACACCAGUGGCGAAGGCGGCCUACUGGGCACCAACUGACGCUGAGGCUCGAAAGUGUGGGUAGCAAACAGGAUUAGAUACCCUGGUAGUCCACACUGUAAACGAUGAUUACUAGGUGUUGGAGGAUUGACCCCUUCAGUGCCGCAGUUAACACAAUAAGUAAUCCACCUGGGGAGUACGACCGC